rnacentral:rRNA from 1 species
GACGAACGCUGGCGGCGUGCUUAACACAUGCAAGUCGAACGAUGAAGCCGGAGCUUGCUCUGGUGAAUUAGUGGCGAACGGGUGAGUAACACGUGAGUAACCUGCCCUUGACUCUGGGAUAACUGCGGGAAACUGUAGCUAAUACCGGAUACGACCCUCGGAGGCAUCUCCUGGGGGUGGAAAGAAUUUCGGUCAAGGAUGGACUCGCGGCCUAUCAGCUAGUUGGUGAGGUAAAGGCUCACCAAGGCGACGACGGGUAGCCGGCCUGAGAGGGUGACCGGCCACACUGGGACUGAGACACGGCACAGACUCCUACGGGAGGCAGCAGUGGGGAAUAUUGCACAAUGGGCGCAAGCCUGAUGCAGCAACGCCGCGUGAGGGAUGACGGCCUUCGGGUUGUAAACCUCUUUUAGCAGGGAAGAAGCGAAAGUGACGGUACCUGCAGAAAAAGCACCGGCCAACUACGUGCCAGCCGCCGCAGUAA